rnacentral:rRNA from 1 species
UACGUAGGGGGCGAGCGUUACCCGGAUUCACUGGGCGUAAAGGGGGCGUAGGCGGCCGUGUAAGUCCGGUGUGAAAUACCACGGCUCAACCGUGGAACUGCGCUGGAAACUACACGGCUUGAGGACGGUAGAGGGAGACGGAACUGCUGGUGUAGGGGUGAAAUCCGUAGAUAUCAGCAGGAACGCCGGUGGGGAAGCCGGUCUCCUGGGCCGUUCCUGACGCUGAGGCCCGAAAGCUAGGGGAGCAAACAGG